rnacentral:rRNA from 1 species
UACAGAGGGUGCGAGCGUUGUCCGGAAUCACUGGGCGUAAAGGGCGCGUAGGUGGCGCAACAAGUCAGUGGUGAAAGCUCGACGCUCAACGUCGAGUCGGCCACUGAGACUGUUGGGCUUGAGCACUGUAGAGGCUAAUGGAAUUCCGGGUGUAGCGGUGGAAUGCGUAGAGAUCCGGAAGAACACCGGUGGCGAAGGCGGUUAGCUGGGCAGUUGCUGACACUGAGGCGCGACAGCGUGGGGAGCAAACAGGG